UCUAGUAACUUACUCUCUAACCGCCAUUUGAGACCUGUGACUAACAAACUAAAUUACAAACGUCGAUUUUCACCAAAUAUUUGAUUUUAUGUACAGUUUGUAAACUAUCCUAAUCCAUGGUAAGUGUGUGGGGCAUCAAUAUUGAUAUGUAAAAACCGUGCAGCUUACUUUGCACGUGAUGCUAUUUACGAAUUAUGAUUGUUCCAUUAAUAAGUCAUUAUUCAUUGUAAUUAUUUUUUCCUGUUUUGUUUUGUGUAUGUUUAAUUUGGAGUUGUAAAUUCUGCUUGUUCAGGGUUCAGAUGUUGAAACACUACAGUAGAAAAGAACUGAUGGAUAGGGAAUCUGCUGUGAAGGAUACAGUGGAAAUGUGGCAAGCACUCUUUAUGAAGAGUCAGAGUUCACUCUUAUAUCUGGCAAAGACCUACAAACCAAAUUAUUUCUAGAACUGGACAGUUGACAUCUCAGAGCCAAAGGGGGAGACAUUGGCUCUAAACUUAAGAAGAUUCUGCAACAGAAUUUCAACAUUGAAAAUAAUGUGAGCUCCACAGACUCCUAAGUUCUUUGCAUUUGCAAGUGUUGUUUGCUCUGUGUUGUGUGUAUGCUAUUAAAUAAUAUUUUUUUUAAUAAUGUUUCAGAAAUCUGACAGAACAGCAGUUCUUCAUGGCCUUCCACUCCUCCUUGGAGAAGACUCCACUGAUUUUUACAAGACAAGACAUGUAUUGACUAUGAUGAUGAAGGCAAUUCAAGUGGCAUACUGACUUUGAACCCUAAGGACUGUGAAACCAUACCUAACUCGCUGAACCUUGCCAUCUUUUUGGAAGGUACAAGUCUAAUGGAUAGAAUCUUCCUCAAACCAUGUGCCUCCUUUUUGGGGCUCUUUUAUGAUCUGCAUUUAGAGUACCCUCCAGUAAUGAAGAAAAACUUUGAUUUCAUCCAGGGGGUGAAUUUGUCACUCGGGCACAAGUCUCUGAAACUUAAAAUACUAUCUCUGAAAAAUAUUCUAAUGCAGUAACGUCACUUUUCUCCAAUUCUACAUUUAACGUUUUGUGAAAAGUUAAAGAUGUGAAAAAGUUACACUGAUCUUUUAU